AAUGUAGAAAUGUAACAUGCAUAAUUAAUUUUGGAUUAAUUAGAGAUAGGUCACUAUCCUACAUUA
rnacentral:tRNA from 1 species